rnacentral:ncRNA from 2 species
UUCUUAUUAAGAGAGGCAGAGGGACUGGCCCUGUGAUGCCUCGGCAGCGGACUCGGAAUUCCGAGUGCUGUGCCAAUUCCAGCAAGCCCUGUGCUUGAAAAAUGAGAA